rnacentral:rRNA from 1 species
UACGUAGGGGGCAAGCGUUGUCCGGAUUCAUUGGGCGUAAAGGGUGCGUAGGCGGCGAGGUAAGUCGGAUGUGAAAUCCCGGGGCUCAACCCCGGAACUGCAUUCGAUACUGCCUUGCUUGAGUACUGGAGAGGAGACUGGAAUUUACGGUGUAGCAGUGAAAUGCGUAGAUAUCGUAAGGAAGACCAGUGGCGAAGGCGAGUCUCUGGACAGUUACUGACGCUGAGGCACGAAGGCCAGGGGAGCAAACGGG